rnacentral:lncRNA from 1 species
UCCGAAUUCGGAUAUCCGAAUUCGAUUCGAAUAACAUUUAUAAAAAAACCCAAAAAUAAUAUUUUAUUUUAUUUUUGUUAAAAAAACCCUGUAAUAUUAAAAAAAAAACUGUAAAUAUUAAAUCCAAGUAUCCAAGUGUCCAACACAAUUUAACAUAACAAGUAUCCAUCCAACAUAAUUUAAAAAUAGUACUUAACAAUCAAUCCAACAUAAUUUAAAUUUUUAACAUAUUCUAAGCUUCAUUUUAUAAUUUCCAGAUCAUCCAAUCAUCCAUAGAGAUAUCGAACAGGUUAACCAUCGUCCAUUGAACACCUGUUUAAGAAUAAACAAACCAAUAUUCAAAUAGGAAAUAUAAAAAUAAAUUCCAACAUAAUUAAUAUUCACAAUUUACUUACCAUCUUAUUAUUUAAAUGAUUAAAGCCAAUCCUUGCAAAACAGUAUUGCUUCCACUGUAUCAGAUUUUAAAGAAGCCCGAGUAUCUUCAAUUAUCCGACGACCCCAACUAAAAGCAGACUCAUAAGCAACAGUAGAUGUUGGAAUGGCUAAGAGAUCUCUGGCCAUCUUCCUUAAUGUUGGAAACUUCACUCCAGUAUUAUUCCACCAAUUCAAAAUAUCAAAUAGAAAUGGAUCAUCUUUUCUCUCUGGAUGAAGUGCUUCAUUCAAAUAAGUAUCUAACUCUGAAAUUCGAGUUGGUUCCAUUUGUUGAUUCUUGUCAAUUACAAAGUCUUGCCAUUCCGCUGUUACAAGAUCAUGAGUUGUUCCACAAGAAAUUACUUCUGUAGAAGGAUUAUCAUCAACUACUUCACUUUGUGUUUUAUCCACAUAAGAAUCAUAUAAUUCUCUCAGGGCACUAUUAACUCGAACAAUAUGAAUAUGAGAUGCACUACCAUAAAGCUUUCCAUAUGCAUAUUCAACAAAAUGCAUUUUGUAUCGAGGGUCUAAGAUCAUACAAAUCGUCAAAGUAAACCCACACAAUUCCCAAUAUUUAUCAAACUUAAUUUGCAUUAACCUUGCCAUUUCUUGGAUGCCUCUAUCGGAAUUUUUUUUCCAUAAGCUUAGAUGGAAACUGAUAUUCACAAUAUCUUUAAAAUAAUAGUUUGCAGUAGGAUAUUUCGUACCAGAUAAUCUAAGUGUAAUGGUAUGAAAAAGCUUCAAACAAUCACAUACCUUCUUUCCCAUUUCCCAUUCUUCAAAUGUUGGAAGUUCUUUAUAAUCAGAGUCUAAAUCUGCCAAACGUUCAAAAGCAUCUCUGACUUCCAAAGCACUUUGAAGCAUGACAUAUGUAGAAUUCCAACGUGUGUCAACAUCCAAACUCACCUGAAAAUGAAAAUUAUAUAUCAAAUAAUUUAUCUAAAGGUAAUUUUCAGAAUGGAAAAUUUUCAUUUACCUUUUUAUUAUCAUUCAAUCUACUCUGAGUUAAAGCUUGCUUAAAUUUCUGAUUUCGGUAAACAGAUGACCCAAUGUACUUUACACUCUUUCGGAUUUUCUCAAUCAAUGAUAAUAUUAUUUCCAUUCCACUUUUAACAAUCAAAUUAAUUAUAUGAGCAGAACAUCGAAUAUGGAAUAAAUCUCCAUUCUUUAGCAAAUACUCCUUACAAUUCAACCAAUUCUUAAUCAUUACCACCAUUGGUUCGUUGUUGCUCGCAUUGUCAACUACGAUUGAGUAGACCUUUUUAUCGAUAUUCCAUUUCAAGAUCUUUUGUUUCAGCCAAUUUCCAAGGACUUCACCAGUGUGUGGGCAUUCAAUAAAAUUGAAGGCAAUGAUUUUCUUAUUUAAUUUCCAUGAAUCGUCUAUAUAAUGGCAGGACACACAACAAUACCCAUGGUUCUAAUGAUCUGAAGUCCAUAAAUCAGUUGUGAGGCUAACCUUAGAUGAAAUACCAUCCAAGAUACUUUGCAACUUUGUUUUUUCUAUCUUAUAAACUUCUAGGCAAUCAGACUUGAUAGUAUUUCUGGUUCUGAAUUUGUACAUUGGGGAAAUGAAAGCCACCCACUUUCUAAAAUACUCAUGUUCUGUCAAAAGAAACGGAUAAUCGUGUUUCAUUACCAUUUGAGCAAACAAAGUUCUCUCAACCUCUGCAUCAAAUCUGUAAGUUACAAUACUUGCAUUUAGCUGUGAUGGAACCAUCUGGAUUCUCUGUUCUUUCAUAAUCAUUCCAAACAGGGGAUGUCAAAGAUCGUUUCCUUUUAAUUUUAUUAACUUCAGGAUGUUCACAUUCUUUGGCUAAUAUUGUAGAAGAUACGCCGGUAGUAGUACUAGGUACACUAAGGUUUUGUAUAGGAGCAUCUUGAGAUAUAGGGAUAUGUGUAUCUCCAAUACUUUGAACGUCUAUUAUGUCUCUAACCACACCUAAUAUAAUUUACAUAAAGAUGAUUUAAGAAACAUAAAUAUCAGAAUUCAGAAACAUUAAAAUCAGAAAUAUAAAUUAAUAUCAGAAACAUAAAUUAAUAUAAGAAUAAGAACAUUAAUUUAUGCCACAAAAAAAUUAACAUUACCUUCAUCAUUCCCAUGUACAUUAGACAUUGAGUCUAUUGAAUUAGUAGACUGUUUAGGAAAUGAAAUCUGAAAAUGAAUAAAAAAUUAAAAAUGAAUAUUAGAAUAGAAUGAUGAUGAUGAUGAGGUGGAAGCCGUCGCAAUGUAAGAAUUCUAAAUCUUAAAUUCUAAACUCUAAACCAUUAAAGGGUUUUUGAAUUUUGAACCACUCUUCUGCUCUUUUAUCUAUCUUUCUAGAGCCUGGAAAAAGCUUCCAGUUGCUCAACAAUACUAAAAGGGCCUGUUUGAAUCUAGUAUCAUCCUACAAAGGCAAAGAAGCAAUAAAGUAAAAGAUGUGGCAAACAGAACAAAGAAAAUAUAUAAAUAAAUAAAAGACAACGAAAACGAUAAAUUUAGCAAGUUAAUGCUUAUGUCAAGUGUCAAUAAAGUAUAAACUAUAAACACUUCGAUUUUGCAACAUUUUAUUCAAUAAUGACCAGAAUAAAAGUGUUUUCCAAGUGUUCAAUCGAGAUGAGUGAACAAAAACCUCAUCGGCAAGAAUCUUAGAGCAAUUGAAGCAGACACAUCGCAUAAUCGCAAGAACAGUCUUCAAAAAUCUAUCUUUUAGUAGAUUAAAAGAAGAGGAAUUCCAGAGGAAGUUAAAAGAGAUGUUAAAUGAAGAAGAAAAGAAACGCAUACCAGUUGCUCAGCGUCUACCCUGGACCACUGAUGAGCCUGAGUGUCUGGUAAAGCCUGCAGUGAAAGAAACAAGUGAGCCCAUUGAUAUUCUUCUCCAUAGGGGAUUUUAUUGUGGACGAACCCUUACAGGAUGGAUUUAAAAGACCCGUACUAGAGGUCCGAGACUGUACAGAUUUCAACAUCUGAGUGAAAACUGAAAACGAAAGGAAAGAAAUCGCUAUUUCCGUAAACUGGAAACGAAAGGAAAGGAAAGGAAAGAAAACGAAACGAAAGGAAAGAAAACUGGAAACGAAAGAAAACUGAAAACAUCUGAGUGAAAACUGUACAGGCUAUUUCCGUUUUUUUUUGUAAAAACAGUAACAAAGUGAAAGGAAGAUGAGAAAACUUACCAGUUACCCAGAUGAGAAGGAGCCGAGUAACUUGUGUGCUUGCUGCUUGACUGCUUGUGCAAAAAAAAUGGAGGAAUGAGAAGAAAUCGCCAAACCCUAGCUAACUCUUAAGAAAGGAGAAUAACUGAAUAAGAAAUAAGAAUGAUUUUUUUAGGGAUUUAGAGAUUAGGUUUAGG